rnacentral:rRNA from 1 species
GACGAACGCUGGCGGCGUGCCUAAUACAUGCAAGUAGAACGCUGAAGGAGGAGCUUGCUUCUCUGGAUGAGUUGCGAACGGGUGAGUAACGCGUAGGUAACCUGCCUGGUAGCGGGGGAUAACUAUUGGAAACGAUAGCUAAUACCGCAUAAUAUUGACUAUUGCAUGAUAGUCAGUUGAAAGGUGCAACUGCACCACUACCAGAUGGACCUGCGUUGUAUUAGCUAGUUGGUGGGGUAACGGCUCACCAAGGCGACGAUACAUAGCCGACCUGAGAGGGUGAUCGGCCACACUGGGACUGAGACACGGCCCAGACUCCUACGGGAGGCAGCAGUAGGGAAUCUUCGGCAAUGGACGGAAGUCUGACCGAGCAACGCCGCGUGAGUGAAGAAGGUUUUCGGAUCGUAAAGCUCUGUUGUAAGAGAAGAACGAGUGUGAGAGUGGAAAGCUCACACUGUGACGGUAUCUUAACAGAAAGGGACGGCUAACUACGUG